CACACCGCCCGUCGCUACUACCGAUUGCUCCAGUUAACGAGCUCUUCGGAUUGGUCCCGUAGGCCGGCCUUCGGGUCGGCUCUCGGCGUGCCGAGAAGAUGCGCAAAUUGACCGGAGUAGAGGAAGUAAAAGUCGUAACAAGGUAUC
rnacentral:rRNA from 1 species